rnacentral:rRNA from 1 species
AGAUGCUAAUACCGCAUAACAACUUGGACCGCAUGGUCCGAGCUUGAAAGAUGGCUUCGGCUAUCACUUUUGGAUGGUCCCGCGGCGUAUUAGCUAGAUGGUGGGGUAACGGCUCACCAUGGCAAUGAUACGUAGCCGACCUGAGAGGGUAAUCGGCCACAUUGGGACUGAGACACGGCCCAAACUCCUACGGGAGGCAGCAGUAGGGAAUCUUCCACAAUGGACGAAAGUCUGAUGGAGCAACGCCGCGUGAGUGAAGAAGGGUUUCGGCUCGUAAAACUCUGUUGUUAAAGAAGAACAUAUCUGAGAGUAACUGUUCAGGUAUUGACGGUAUUUAACCAGAAAGCCACGGCUAACUACGUGCCAGCAGCCGCGGUAAUACGUAGGUGGCAAGCGUUGUCCGGAUUUAUUGGGCGUAAAGCGAGCGCAGGCGGUUUUUUAAGUCUGAUGUGAAAGCCUUCGGCUCAACCGAAGAAGUGCAUCGGGAAAACUGGGGAAACUUGAGUGCAGAAGAGGACAGUGGAACUCCAUGUGUAGCGGUGAAUGCGUAGAUAUAUGGAAAGAACACCAGUGGCGAAAGGCGGCUGUCUGGUCUGUAACUGACGCUGAAGGCUCGAAAGUUAUGGGUAGCAAACAGGGAUUAGAUACCCUGGGUAGUCCAUACCGGUAAACGAUGAAUGCUAAAGUGUUGGAGGG